rnacentral:lncRNA from 1 species
ACCGCCACUGCACCCAUACCCACCGGAACUGUCGCACCACCACCUAAAAUCCAAUCACAAAGCAACCAAGCAAAAAAUUAAAAAAAAUUUCAAAAAUCAGCAGCCAAUAACCAUUUAUUUUCUAAAAGACAAAACGUUUACCUUUGAAUUGUUGGCCACCGAGCGUAAGAGGAGACGACGACAAGCUCGACGGCGGUGCCUCCAACUUUGGGGUUGUCAAAAUAGAAAAUAAAGAGAAAGAAAAAGAAAAAGGGAAAAACAAAAAAAAGAGAAAGUUUUUCGGGAAAAAGAGAAGAGAGAAAGGAGAAGGGAAAUGGGAGAGAAGAGAGAAGGGGGAGUCCAGCCACCGUCGGCAACGGAGGAAGCAGCAGCGACGGCACGACGCCGCGGCUUGGGUUUUCGAAAGAAGAAAAAAGUAGAAGG